rnacentral:rRNA from 1 species
UGGGGAAUUUUGGACAAUGGGCGAAAGCCUGAUCCAGCAAUGCCGCGUGUGUGAAGAAGGCCUUCGGGUUGUAAAGCACUUUUGUCCGGAAAGAAAUCCUUGGCUCUAAUACAGUCGGGGGAUGACGGUACCGGAAGAAUAAGCACCGGCUAACUACGUGCCAGCAGCCGCGGUAAUACGUAGGGUGCAAGCGUUAAUCGGAAUUACUGGGCGUAAAGCGUGCGCAGGCGGUUUGCUAAGACCGAUGUGAAAUCCCCGGGCUCAACCUGGGAACUGCAUUGGUGACUGGCAGGCUAGAGUAUGGCAGAGGGGGGUAGAAUUCCACGUGUAGCAGUGAAAUGCGUAGAGAUGUGGAGGAAUACCGAUGGCGAAGGCAGCCCCCUGGGCCAAUACUGACGCUCAUGCACGAAAGCGUGGGGAGCAAACAGGAUUAGAUACCCUGGUAGUCCACGCCCUAAACGAUGUCAACUAGUUGUUGGGGAUUCAUUCCUUAGUAACGUAGCUAACGCGUGAAGUUGACCGCCUGGGGAGUACGGUCGCAAGAUUAAAACUCAAAUGAAUUG